ACUAUACCGAUGCAAGUACCUUUUGCAAAUGGUCGCAUGUAGUUGUGCACAUGGAGGAGAGAAUCAUUUUCGCAGUAUCCUCUAAACCGUGUCUUUUUGGCACAACUGCUGACAGCUACAUAAACACAAAAAAUGCUGGUUAGGGGCAAGUGUCCACGAUAGUAGGAUUGCCAGGUCAGUUUAGUAGUGAUGUUGUGCUAGAUGUGGCUAGUUAGCGUUAGCUAGCUAGCUAACAUAGCCAAUGAGGUGUGUGUGUGAAAUAAAUAGUCAAAUAAAUGAUGCUAGUUACUACCCCUGAUACCUUUACCAAAUAAUCAUGUUUGAAAGAGUGUGAGUGUGUAUGCUAGAUAAAUAGUAAUAGAAAUGGUAGAUACUACUGUACCCCUGAUAAUUUGGUGAGAUAACCGUGUGUGUGUCUAUGUGUACAGUAGGUGACAUGUCCAUGAUAGCUAUCUAAUAACUAUAGUUAGGCUAGGUAAUGGUUUGGCUUAUCAUGUUCAUGUCUAUGUAGAAGAAGACUGUAGGAGGAAGUGGAGAGGACUCGGGGACAGGUAUCAGAGAGAGAGAAGGGCAGAGAAAGACAAGAUGUCUGGGUCAGCAGCUUCAGGCCAGCAGCCUUGGCGCGCGCUUCUGACACAUUCUUUUCUGGAUCCAUUUAUUGUGCCUAUGGCAACGAGUGGCAAUUUUACAGCCAGACCCUCUACUACGUCAUCCACAAGUGUUGUCGCCACCGGUGCAUCAAGACCCUCAACGUCGCCUACAAAUGCAACCAUCACCUCCACCAGAGGAGUGAGACCCUCUACAACAUCAUCCACGAGUAUGACCACUACCGGUGCAUCAAGACCCUCAACGUCACCUACAAAUGCAACCAUCACCUCCACCGGAGGAGUGAGACCCUCUACAACAUCAUCCACGAGUAUGACCACCACCAGUGCAGCCAUGGAAGAUGAUGAAAUGGAGGUAGAAUAUCUAGAUCUAAGACCACCUGAGAUUAAUAUGAACCUCACGGAAGUGACCGCUGAGGACCUCGUUGAACAGGAUGUGGCCGUGGAGAGAAACAGAGAGUGAAACGAAGAGGAACAACGUCACACCAGGCGUCAUCGGAGGUACCAGCCUCCAGAUCCACUCAACUAAUUUCAGCAGAGACUCUCCUCCAAGCCGUUGAGAGGGAUGCAGCCCAACCUGAUGCCCACAGGAAGGAGGAUGAAGAGACCCUCUUUGCCAUGAGCCUGGUGCCAACACUGAAGAGGCUGCCUCAGCAAAGAAAAGCAGCAGUCAAGGUUAAAAUGCUUUUCGAAGCCGAGUUCAAUGAAAUGGAGUCCGUUUAGCCGACCAGCUCACAGGAAGGACAGGAAGAGGAGAGGAGUUGUCUGGUUGUUGUUUUUACCUCCCUCGUUGUACCUUUCUUUUCACACACGCCAGUUCUGUUUAAAUUCAGUCAAUUCAUAAAGUCAUUUGUUUAUAAAGA